AGGAUGAACGCUGGCGGCGUGCCUAACACAUGCAAGUCGAACGAAGCAUACGGACCGGAGAUUCGUCGAAGGACUGUAUGACUUAGUGGCGGACGGGUGAGUAAUGUAUGAGCAACCUGCCUUUCAGAGGGGGACAACAGUUGGAAACGACUGCUAAUACCGCGUAAUGUAUCGUGAGGGCAUCCUCGUGAUACCAAAGGAGCAAUCCGCUGAAAGAUGGGCUCAUAUCUGAUUAGCUUGUUGGCGGGGUAACGGCCCACCAAGGCGACGAUCAGUAGCCGGACUGAGAGGUUGAACGGCCACAUUGGGACUGAGAUACGGCCCAGACUCCUACGGGAGGCAGCAGUGGGGAAUAUUGGGCAAUGGGCGAAAGCCCUGACCCAGCAACGCCGCGUGAAGGAAGAAGGUCUUCGGAUUGUAAACUUCUUUUAUGAGGGACGAAGGACGUGACGGUACCUCAUGAAUAAGCCACGGCUAACUACGUGCCAGCCGCGGC
rnacentral:rRNA from 1 species